CGAUUAUCUGGGAAGUUUCAGGUCUUCAGACUUUUAUUUCUAUGGUGAAACUUAUUCUAAUUUCCAGCCCAAGAUUCUGGAACACAUCUCCCAUUAUGAAGUGGGCCUCAGGGUGGGAGUGGAAGCAGAACCUCUUGUUCACACUCCACACCCUCAUUUUCCAGCAGUGAAGGUAGACUAUUAAGGCUCUCAUGUCAUCAAGGAUGGAGGCAAUGGGAUAAUGGAGAUUCUAGACAUUUGUUUCGUCACCAGCGAAAAUUAAAUGAAGACUCAGGAAUCACUACAGCUACAGGGAUGAGAAGGACAUUUCAGCAGCUACAGUGUGGUGGCCCCCUUAGCAGCUUCUUUGUUUGUCCAUCAAGAAAAUAUUUUUGGACAAAAACAAACCUGUAGUUCAUUGGAAGCAAGGCAUUGGGCCCAGUGAUAAAGAUCUGAAUAAGGAAGAUGCAGAAGACGUUAAUCAUAGGCUUAUCAAUGCCCUUAGGAGAUCUGUCCCCCUGAUUGAAGCAACUCUGACCUUUGGAAGUUCAUAUCCAAGAAGUAUGAUAUCAAUCUUAUUUUUAAAUAAAUUA
rnacentral:lncRNA from 1 species